rnacentral:rRNA from 1 species
AUUGAACGCUGGCGGCAGGCCUAACACAUGCAAGUCGAGCGGCGCGGCGGACGGGUGAGUAAUACCUAUGAAUCUGCCUGGUAGUGGGGGAUAACGAUAGGAAACGGACGCUAAUACCGAAUACUCUCAGCUGAGCCUAGGUCGGAUUAGCUGGUGGGUGGGGUAAUGGCUCACCAAGGCUACGAUCCGUAACUGGUCUGAGAGGAUGAUCAGCCACACUGGAACUGAGACACGGUCCAGACUCCUACGGGAGGCAGCAGUGGGGAAUAUUGGACAAUGGGCGAAAGCCUGAUGCAGCCAUGCCGCGUGUGUGAAGAAGGUCUUCGGAUUGUAAAGCACUUUAAGUGGGGAGGCGUUACCGACAGAAUAAGCACCGGCUAACUACGUGCCAGCAGCCGCGGUAAUAC